rnacentral:rRNA from 1 species
UGGAAGUAAAAAAUCGUAACAAGGUUUCCGUAGGUGAACCUGCGGAAGGAUCAUUACAAGAACUUUUUGGAUACCACUUUGUGGGUCCUUGUAGUAAACCCUAUAUGUGUAACUCUUAGUAGUCUGACCAGGCCAUGGGCCACUUUAAUGGAAUAUAUAUUAAAACUUUCAACAACGGAUCUCUUGGCUCUCGCAUCGAUGAAGAACGCAGCGAAAUGCGAUAAGUAAUGUGAAUUGCAGAAUUCCGUGAAUCAUUGAAUCUUUGAACGCACAUUGCGCCCUUUGGUAUUCCUUAGGGCAUGCCUGUUCGAGCGUCACUAAAUACCCCCUCACAUCUAAUGUGGUAUUGGCUGAAGUGAUGGGAAUUGUACCCAAGAGUCACUAUGCCGAAAUCUAUUGCGUGGAUAACUGAUUCCGGUAAUUGACUUUGUAAGCGUUAUUGAGAACGGAAACCAGUCGAGUAUCGGUAUAAGUUGCGCACAUCUGGACCCCCAUCCAGUGUAAAGCUCUGGGUUGACCUCGGAUCAGGUAGGGAUACCCGCUGAACUUAAGCAUAUCAAUAGGCCGGAGGAUUGU